rnacentral:rRNA from 1 species
AACCAGACUCCUACGGGAGGCAGCAGUGGGGAAUAUUGGGCAAUGGGCGCAAGCCUGACCCAGCAACGCCGCGUGAAGGAAGAAGGCUUUCGGGUUGUAAACUUCUUUUAAGAGGGAAGAGUAGAAGACGGUACCUCUUGAAUAAGCCACGGCUAACUACGUGCCAGCAGCCGCGGUAAUAUGUAGGGGGCAAGCGUUAUCCGGAUUUACUGGGUGUAAAGGGAGCGCAGACGGCAGUGCAAGUCUGGAGUGAAAGCCCGGGGCCCAACCCCGGAACUGCUCUGGAAACUGUGCGGCUAGAGUACUGGAGGGGCAGGCGGAAUUCCUAGUGUAGCGGUGAAAUGCGUAGAUAUCAGGAGGAACACCGGUGGCGAAGGCGGCCUGCUGGACUGCGACUGACGUUGAGGCCCGAAAGCGUGGGGAGCAAACAGGAUUAGAUACCCUAGUAUC